UACGUAGGGGGCGAGCGUUGUCCGGAUUUAUUGGGCGUAAAGAGCUCGUAGGCGGCUGUUCGAGUCGGGUGUGAAAUCCUGAGGCUUAACCUUGGGUCUGCAUUCGAUACUGGGCGGCUUGAGUCUGGUAGGGGGAUCUGGAAUUCCUGGUGUAGCGGUGGAAUGCGCAGAUAUCAGGAGGAACACCGGUGGCGAAGGCGGGAUCCUGGGCCAGUACUGACGCUGAGGAGCGAAAGCCAGGGGAGCAAACGGG
rnacentral:rRNA from 1 species